rnacentral:rRNA from 1 species
AAUAAACGCUGGCGGCGUGCCUAACACAUGCAAGUCGAGCGAGAAAGCUCCUUCGGGAGUGAGUACAGCGGCGAACGGGUGAGCAACGCGUGGGAAUCUACCCUUCAGUGAAGAAUACCCUUGAGAAAUCGAGGUUAAUACUGCAUACAUCCUGUAAAGGAGAAAGAUGGCCUAUUUGCUGUCGUUGAAGGAUGAGCCUGCGUACUAUUAGCUAGUUGGUAGGGUAACGGCCUACCAAGGCGAUGAUGGUUAACCGGACUGAGAGGGUGUACAGUAACACUGGAACUUAGACACGGUCCAGACUCCUACGGGAGGCAGCAGUGGGGAAUAUUGGACAAUGGGGGGAACCCUGAUCCAGCCAUGCCGCGUGUGUGAAGAAGGCUUUAUGGUUGUAAAGCACUUUAAGCGAGGAGGAGGCUACUGAGACUAAUACUCUUGGAUAGUGGACGUUACUCGCAGAAUAAGCACCGGCUAACUCUGUGCCAGCCGCCGCGGUAA